CACGCACACACGUCACGCAGCGGGAGGCGGCAGGCCGGCGGAGGAAGCGGGGGGCAGUGCGGUUACUUCCGGCCGCCUCCCAGAUGCAGAGCAGCUGUUUCCGGUGUAGCCUCAGCUCGUGCUACCCGUGUAAUUAGUGAGCGAGAGGCUGAGCAUGCGCAGUAAUAGCAGCUCUGAAAUGAUACACAAAGCGAGGUGAGAAAGAUGACAUGUUAAGUGGCAUUUUGGCUAGAGUGGAGCAGCAAAUGGAGAGAAACAAAGGAGCAUAAUACUGCUAUGAGAGAUGGUGAACCUGUGGACAAAGGAGUGAUUUUCUUUUCUCCAUUGGAUUCAUUGAUGGAGAACUGGAUAUAUUUUUACUAUCCCUGAACAUGAAAACUGGAGCAGUCAAGAGACAAUGUCACAAUCCACUGCCAGCGCAAGUUUUGUAAGGGUAGUCCCAAAGAAGACACCAGUUUGACCGUGGCAACAACAUGUCUCAGCACUUUCCUCCAAUAAGAACACUCCUUUUCAAACUGAGCCUGUAACACAGAAUCAAUUCUUCCAGAUAAUUUACACCUUUGAAUGAACUUACACAUAGCAUUAAUAUUAGCUUUGGAAGUUUCAUGAUCAGCAAUAUGUCUUGCAACAUUUCUCCAAUUAGAGUGCCCAUUGACAAAUGUUUGUUUUCCUUUACUAUGGUCAGGGAAUAAUUUGCAAACAUAACAAUAGACUGCCUUAAUGGUUUCCGAAAAAAAAUCAACCAAAUUCUCACUUCUGUCGUACCAUUUUUCUGCAUCUUCAGAAAAUGGGACUCAUGAAGACCUUUAAAUUGCUUUCGUCCUGCAACUUCAUACUCUCUUCUCAAAUUUUCCACAUUACCUACAUUUUUCGGUUUAUUUACUAAGAAAUAUUCUAUCAUAUCCAAUUAAACAAAUUUUGGCCAUAA